ACUAUAGCGGCCGUUCCCGGUUCCCGGUUCCCGCCUGGAGCUUUUGGCGCUGCCAUUACCUCAACCCCCCGCUUCCCUAAGUCGGGAAAGCGCUGUCGUGAGAUUCUCUCUAUCUCUCUCUCUCUCUCUCUCUCUCUCUCUCUCUCUCUCUCUGUUUUUGUUAGGGUUUCUCCAACUCUCAUGGAUGGUCAAACUUCUUCAAUCUCUCCUCGAUUUCGUUACUUCCGUUGCAGCUGCUUCAGACGCUGUUGUCGCUGUUUUUGUUGCUUUUAUUCCUACCCGUAGUAUUUAAAUUCUCUUAAUUUUCAUACAAAAAGCGGCAUUUGUUUCUCUUGUGGUGUGGAGAUGUUGGUUAUGGAGUUAUCGCAUGCUUAAUCGGGCCUCUCUCUAGGGUUUCGCUCGCAUGUGUCGCCGCCUCACCCUUAGAUGGUGCCCGAUCCAAUUUAAAAGCGGGUAAGGAAGAGCAGGGAGAUGAAUAAUUUUCUCUUUUGGGGCAUUCUCUGUGCUUAAAGAGGAACAGAGAUGGGCGAUCUUUACCGCCUUCGAGUCCUUCGAAGCGGGCCUUGGUUGAAGAUGGCCUCGAGGCAAGACGAGUCGCUGUGCAUGCGUGGGGAAAUCAACCCCUUUCUGUGGCAGACCCAGAGAUUCACGAGAUUAUGGAAAAGGAGGACAGACAGUUCAAAGGGAUUGAAUUGAUAGCUUCGGAGAAUUUUGUUUGUAGAGAAGCAGCGAUGGAAGCUUUAGGAAGCCAUUUAACUAACAAGUACUCAGAGGGAAUGCCCGGUGCUAGAUACUAUGGAGGAAUGUGCAAGACCAUUUGAUUUCUGUGACUUUGUUACCUCAACUACUAAUAAAGGUCUUCGAGGUCCAAGAAGAGGUAUUAUUUUUAAUAGAAAAGGUGCAAAUUUAAGGAGGCGAGGCAUGCUUCUUGGUCAUGGAGAUGAUAGUAACCAGUAUGAUUUUGAGAAAAAGAUAAACUUUGCUGUUUUUCCAUCAUUGCAAGGUGGGCCUCACAAUAAUCACGUUGCUGCCCUUUCUAUAGCACUAAAACAAGUGGCUACCCCGGAAUACAAAGUUUACAUACAACAGGUGAAGAAAAAUGCUCAGUCUUUAGCAUCUGCUUUGCUGAGGAGGAAAUGCAGAUUGGUGACUGGUGGUACAGACAACCAUCUGUUGUUAUGGGAUCUGACAGCUCUAGGCUUGACAUUUAUUUAUUUUUGUCUAGGUAAACGAUAAUUUAUCUUUCAUUUAGAAUCAAUGGAACUCCGCCUGUGUUGCACCUAGUGUCAUAAUUCAUUCCACUUGCAGUCCCAAGUCUAGGUGAAGGAGGAGGAUUUCGUAAAACUUGUCUGAUCCCAACAAUAUGAAUCCUUAACCAUUAAGGUGGAUGAGGGAUAUAACUCUAAAAGAUAAAUUAAAUGGGGGAGCAAUAAAGGAAAUUCUAUGGUUUGAGCUGUUGCAAUAUGGGCCAAAUAUUGCACCGAUGAGGAUUGACUAGUGAGCUGUUGAUAGUUGCAGGAGGAGGGUGAGGUGGAGGGAUAUUGAGUAGGGAUUUGACAGCAAUCUACCUUUUGGAGGAUGUUGCCGUAGUGUGUGUGGAAUGGCAGACAAGGAUUCAUGUAGCCAACCCAAAGUAGUGAGACUUAAAGCUUGACUACAUCAAAAUUAUGGAUCAGGCAAGAACUAUGAGAAGGUCUGUGAAAUGUGCUACAUCACCAUCAACAUAAGUGCUAUAUUUGGAGACAAAGGUGCAAUUUCCCGUGGAGGGGUAAGGAUUGGUACACCUGCUAUGACAACAAAGAGGUUGCCUAGAGGCGAACCAGGGGGGAAGGCUGCCACCCCGUGGGUUUGGUGCCAUACCAGGGGGUCCAAAGGGUUCGUUGGUGGCUGGAGUUUCCAUGUCAUAAGAAAAAAGAAAGAAGAAAAAAGAAAAAAGAAAAAAGAAAAAAGAAGAGGUUUCCUAGAGGCUGAUUUUGAGACGAUUGCUGACUUUCUUGUUAAGGCAGCUCAGUGUACUAGUGGUGUGCAAAGGGAACAUGAGAAAUCACAGAAAGAUUUCCUCAAGGGUCUCCGAAACUGUAAGGAUAUUGUGGAGCUACGAAACAGGGUUGAGACAUUUGCCUCCCAGUUUGCAAUGCCAAGAUUUGACAUUUGAGUACUUUGAAAGGGAGGUGCCCGACACCUGUAAAUAAAACAUCAUUUAUCUUGCUUCUGAGACAUGCUGCUGCGUGAAAUGGUAAAACUGCUCAUCAUUUUUUUAUGCCUUCUGUUUCCGAUUCAUCUUCUAUAAAUUAAAUAUAGCUGUUGCUGUUUUAGACAUGAUACAUACAAUUAUCCUCUACCCAGCGACCAGUCUAUAUCUCCUUGAUUUUGUAAAGAUUAUAGUGUUGUGUUUUCUCCACUAUGUCCUGGAGGGCACUGCCAAAGCUUUUGGUGUAUACUCGAGGGUCUGUAUCCUUGUCAACGCAUCUAUGAGAACAGUAGUGUAGUAGAAAGGAAGUUAAUAUCACAUCUCUCUUCUAGAUUAA